rnacentral:lncRNA from 1 species
UCAGUUCGAGCUCCACGGCAUGGCGCUCCCAGGCCCCCAGACCACAGCCUCGACUCUGCUUGCCUUCCCCUCACUGACUCAGCCAUGGUAGGCUGUUCAAAUUGCAAUGCUUUUCCAACAGGCUCUGUCACAUGGCUUUUUCUCAGGCUCACGUCUCUGGCUGCAUUAACUCCCCACUCACCCUGCUGCCACCAGUCCACCUGGAGACCCUCAGUCAUCUUCAGGAUGCAGCUGGGUGCCUUUCCCGGCCACCCGCACGUCCCCACCCCUCCCACCUCUCCCGCUUCAGGCCCCCAUGAAUCCCUCUGUUGGUCUCUGUCACACUGCUUUUUCCCUUUGCCCUCCUCUGUUGACCUGCCAACUGCCUGCCCCUGGACUAUAAUUCCCUUGAGGACACAGUCUGUGCCUUAUUCCCCUCCCGCUCCCCAAUGCCUGGCACGCCCAGCAAGUGCUCUUCAAACAGCCUUGUGGAUUCCUGAAUCACUGGUGGCCCAGCAAAGGCUGCAAUCCAGGAGACCAUGUGGGAUGGCAGCCGUGUUUCCUUUCCAUCUACAGUAGGACUCAUUCUAUAUCUGUUGGAGAGAGUCCAGCCUGCCAUCAGCAAAUGGGAAAGCUCCUGUCCAGGUCUCUGCCCAUGGUGCUGGCACCGGCCCCACAGGCUGUUCCAUGCCAAAGCCUGGGGCCCAGACUCCAGGCGCUGCCUCUGAAUAAUGAAGCCCCCAGGGCCACUAGAAGUGUGGAGUAUGCAUGCCCCUCCACGGUAAAAUGGACUGUUGACCCCGUCUGGUCCUGGCCUGGCUGGAAAGGAGAGUUAGGGGGCCAGGCGGGAAUUCUGUGCAAGGGAAAUGGGAAGAACGAGUGGCCCUGGAGGAGACUGAUUCCCCCCGACCAGCUUGCCAGUCAGGAGGCACUCAGGUGCCUGCAACAGAGGGCUGACCCAGAGGACCUCUGGAGAGCUCUUCCUGCCAGAGGAUCCUCAGACGCCUAGGGGCUCGAGGCACUUCAGAGACAUGACCUGCGUGGGGACCAGGGACGGUGGUCGCCCCACGUUGGGAACUGAGCCUCUGGGAGAGGUUUCCUACGCCCCAGCCCAGAAAGAGUUUGUGGGGCUGAGGUUGACAGGCUUUCCUUGUCCCUUUCUGCCUUCGCUCUCGCCCCCUGCCUCCUCACCUGCUGCAGCGUGACGCCUGCCCCUCCUCUGGCCACGUGCAGAUGCCAAGCCUCCAGGCCUGGAGUUUGCUGAGAAGAGCCCCCUCAGAGGAAGGACAGGUCAGCACGUCCCACAGCGGGGCACUGAGCCUUCUGGGAGCCAGGGCCCCAGGAAACUUUGUGAGAACAGCCAGGACCCACACCUCUCCACCUGCUGCCCAAACUGCUGCCGGGAGCAAGUCCAAGGGCAGAGGGUGAGGGCAUCCUAGGAAAGGGUGUCUCUCUGUGGGAAGAAAGCACCGGAGACUCACUCAGCAAAUAUUUGCCAAGUGCCAGCUAGGCACCAGGCAUUGUCCCAGACACAGCAGUCCCCUAAACGGGCAAAGUCCCUGCCUCGUGGGGCUGACAUCCUGCAGCUCAUCACAGAAGGCCAGAACGGGCCCAGCCUGAGAGACAGCUCCUCAGCUCCCACCGAGGAGGAAGAAAAGAGUGAGCGGGGAGCCAAGACUAGGUCCAGGGCCCCAGCCUCCCAGUCAACAGCCGCAAGAGGCGAGGACGGGCAUAGGCAGCCUGCCCGGAGGGCCUGUCAAGAGCAGGGGUCACUGUACUGACUGGGGAACACGACAGAGUACUGAGUCCCCUCCCCACCUCUCCCUCCUCCCCCU